rnacentral:rRNA from 1 species
AUUGAACGCUGGCGGCAUGCCUUACACAUGCAAGUCGAACGGCAGCGCGGGAGCAAUCCUGGCGGCGAGUGGCGAACGGGUGAGUAAUAUAUCGGAACGUGCCCAGUAGCGGGGGAUAACGCAGCGAAAGCUGUGCUAAUACCGCAUACGCACUACGGUGGAAAGAGGGGGAUCGCAAGACCUCUCACUAUUGGGGCGGCCGAUAUCAGAUUAGCUUGUUGGCGGGGUAAAAGCCCACCAAGGCGACGAUCUGUAGCUGGUUUGAGAGAACGACCAGCCACACUGGGACUGAGACACGGCCCAGACUCCUACGGGAGGCAGCAGUGGGGAAUUUUGGACAAUGGGCGCAAGCCUGAUCCAGCCAUGCCGCGUGCGGGAAGAAGGCCUUCGGGUUGUAAACCGCUUUUGUUCGGGAAGAAAUUGACUGGGCUAAUACCCUGGUCGGAUGACGGUACCGGAAGAGUAAGCACCGGCUAACUACGUGCCAGCCGCCGCGGUAA